GAAAUCUCUACCCAAAACUAACUACGGUUUAAUAAGUUUUGGGUAGAGAUUUCUUCUCUAUUUAAGUUAUAAAAUCCAUGAAAAUUGCUCAGCAAGAGAUAUGGAUGUAGUAACGCAGAGUAUUAACAUUUUGUUGAUAUCCGAAGUGCUUAUUAGAUCACUUAAAAAGUUAGUGAAAGCAUAAUAAAUUUCGUAAUACAUCCGUACCCAUAUCCGCAACAGGUUUCCAAGAUGUCUAGUCUCUGGUCGAUGAAAUAAUGUAGGUAAGGGAAGUCGGCAAAAUAGAUUCGUAACUUUGGGAAAAGAAUUGGCUCAUGGGAUAUAAAAAGCCGGGUAAUAAGAUUGAUGGUUAAUUUUAAAUUAAAAUGGAUACUAGCAAUAGUUAUUUGAUUUAAUUUAAUAAUUAAUUAUUAACUUAUUAUUGAUAACGACUUUUAUUUAAUAUAUCAACCAUGAACUGGCACGGACAAGAGGAAUCCGACUGUCUAAUUAAAACAGAGGAGACAGAUGAUGUGUGAACAUGUAGACUGUGUCUGAUUUCUGCCCAGUGCAAUGAAUGUUAUCAUUGGGAAACCAAUUGAAGCUCUUGUAAACGGCGGGAGUAACUAUGACUCUCUUAAGGUAGCCAAAUGCCUCGUCGGGUAAUUUCCGACGCGCACGAAUGGAUUAACGAGAUUCCUACUGUCCCUAUCUACCAUUCAGCGAAAUCACAGCCAAGGGAACGGGCUUGGCAAAAACAGCGGGGAAAGAAGACCCUGUUGAGCUUGACUCUAGCUAGGCAUUGUGAAGUGUCAUAUGAGGUGUAGAAUAGGUGGGAGUAAUUUUAUUACGAUCUUGAAAUACCACUACUUAUAUCGAUGCUUUACUUAGUUGAUUAAAUGGAACUGUUAUAUUUUAUAACAUUUCUUGUAUUAAAUUAUAUCUUCGAGAUAUUAAUAAUCCACGUCAAUGAUCGUGUCUGGCGGGGAGUUUGACUGGGGCGGUACAUCUAUCAAACUGUAACGUAGGUGUCCUAAGGCAGACUCAGAGAGGACAGAAACCUCUCGUAGAGUAAAAGGGCAAAAGUUUGCUUGAUCAUGAUUUUCAGUACGAAUACAGACCCUGAAAGGGUGGCCUAUCGAUCCUUUUGUAUUAGUAUGUUUCUAAAAAGAGGUGCCAGAAAAGUUACCACAGGGAUAACUGGCUUGUGGCAGCCAAGAGUCCAUAUCGACGUUGCUUUUUGAUCCUUCGAUGUCGGCUCUUCCUAUCAUUGCGAAGCAGAUUUCGCCAAGCGUUGGAUUGUUCACCCACUAAUAGGGAACGUGAGCUGGGUUUAGACCGUCGUGAGACAGGUUAUUUUCAUAUUCCCGUCGGGGAUGCCUUUUCCUAGGCAAUCGGGGAAUUAUGCCCCGCCGUACUAUAUUUUGUGCUUUUUUUUUGACCCCGUCGGCACAUUUCAGACCCCCGAUUGUCAUUGUGCUUUAUGAAGCAUAUUUCCCCGACAAUGUUUCAUAAGUCACAAAUAUCAUGUUUUUUCCCCGAAGCACAAAAUUAUCCCCGACACAUUU
rfam:Parastrongyloides trichosuri strain KNP genome assembly, scaffold: PTRK_scaffold0000137